GUAGGUUUUCUUGCAAUUUUUUGUGGUAAGAUAAAAUUUAUAUCAUUUUAACGAUUUUUAAGUGUACAGUUCAAUGGCAUUAAGUAUAUUCAUAUGGUGUAACUUGGGUAGUCCAUUUUGCACACACUUUGUAUGGAACUUUUUAUGCUACUCUCAUUUAUAAAUCCUCUAGAAGCUGACCAACAAGACUUGCCUUAGAAUUAAUUCUAGCAAACAAUGGACAUUGUUGUCCCAAUAUAUUAUGAAAUGAACAUAUCACUAAAGAGGGUGACAUAAACACUGACCAAGGUGGAUUUAGCAAAAAUUAUUAAUUUUUAAUUAACUAUAUUUAUUUUCCAAAAUCAUUAGACCAACAAUUACAUAUAGUUUUUCUCUAUUCAUUCAGUGCACUCAAUAAAUGUGUUUAGCACCUAUUAUGUGACAGGAACUGUUCUGCAUACUGAGGAAGACAAGCAAUAAACAAAUGAAUAAUUAAGAGAGCAAAGUAAUUGCAGAGCAUUAUACAUGCUAGUAAGAAAAUAAACCAGGCCAGAAGCAGUGGCUCAAGCCUGUAAUCCCAGCACUUUGGGAGGCCAAGGCGGGCAGAUCACUUGAGCUCAGGAGUUCAAGACCAGCCUGGGCAACAUGGUGAAACUCCAUCUCUACUAAAAAUACAAAAAAUUAUCCAGGCAUGGUGGCAUGCACCUGUAGUCCCAGCUAUUCAGGAGGCUGAAGUGGGAGAAUUGCUUGAAUCCCGGAGGUGGAGAUUGCAGUGAGCCAAGAUCAUGCCACUGCACUCCAGCCUAGGUGACAGAGCGAGACUCCGUCUAAAAAAAGAAAAGAAAAGAAAACAAAAAAGAAACCAGGAACCAAGGUGGUGUGAUAAGGUGAUAAGGUGUGAUUGUGGCUGGGGGUCUACUCUAGCUAGGAUGUUUGCAGAAAACCCCUCGUAGAGGACCUGAAUAAGGAGAGAGGAAGUGCACCACAGAGAAAAGUCAGGGCAACAGAGGAGGCUGGCAUCUCACAGGGCCUUGCAGGGCACCCUAAGGAGGGCCAUAGGAGCCACAGGGAUGUGAUCUUAUUUCUUUUCUAUUUUCAUUAAAAAAAUUUUUUUUUAGCAGGGACAGGGUCUUGCUAUGUUGCCCAGGCUAUCUCGAACUCCUGGCUUCACACAAUCCUCCCACCUUGGCCAUCCAAAGUGCUGGGAUUACAGGGGUGAGCCAGUGCGUCCAGCCUCUUUUUAAAAAUGAGAUCAUUGGUUGCUGUUUGGACAAUGGACUUAGGAGGUUGAAUUAACAAAAAUCAAUUAUGGCUUAAAAUUCGAAAUUAUAAAAAAUAAAAAUUUCCUUUUUAUAUUGGAUUAAAAGCCAGCUGAAUAUCCCACUGAAAAUUAACAGAAAUUUGAACUUAACUUUACCUUUUCAAAAUUGAUCUCUUUUAUGACACAGUGCUUGCUAUCUGAUUUCCCUUUAGCUAAGUAUGCUUUCCCGAAGGCACCUUGCCCGAUGGCCUUAAUCACAUCGUACUUAUCCAUGGUCUCCAAUGGGCUGAGUUUCCUGGAAUUAGAGUAAUGUAAAUUUAUCACACACGUCUCAUAAAGACUAACAAAGUCAGAAAACUGAUGACUAAAGUGUAAAAGAACUCACUUAGCUAAAACUUUCCUCCCAGCCUUGCCAAGACAGAGACAAAUAACUUUCUUUGUGGCCACAGAUAACUGAAAUGAGACAGAGUUUCUUGGUCAGACACGGGUCAUAGCUCAGCUUUGAUACACUUUUGCCCUGUAUUCUCGGGAAUGCAACUACAUGUAAAUCAAGGCUUGAUUGCACUUCGGUUUGGAGGUUUACCAAGAAUUGUUCACCAUUUGGGAAAACCACGCGCUUCACUGGCCACGCUGCUCCUGGUCCCGGAGACCCAACAAUCUGCAUUUGCUGCCGUCACGUUCAGGCGACUCCCCAGGCGCGGCUACUGGCUACUUCUCUACAUUUUCCAAGGGUAGUAGUGCCAAGCAUUUUCAGAUUGAAAUAUGUACUUUCUUACUUAUUGCUUUCCUUCUAUUUCCUCUUUAUGCUACAGUUAGGGCAUAAUACAGUUUUGUUGUUGUUGUUAAUGGGGUGAGCAGGGGGCUUGUUUUCGAAUAAUUUUACGUCAGGGUGGGAAGUCGGUACUGGGUUGCAGGGGGCUGGGAACCAGCUCCGCAGCCAGGAGAGGCUGCAGACACCGGAGGAUCGGGUUCUGAGAGAGACGCAUACGGACUUGGGGCCGGGGGUGACUCGCCGGGAACUGAGGGCCCGCGACCCUCCCGCCCAAGUGGCACCAAAGGGUGGAAGCCCCCAAAUUAGGAAAAUUCCUUCUCCCCUAGGGCCGCCCCUGGAAGCGGCCGCGGGUGAGUGGCAAGACGCUUACCCGUACCCGACCUCCGCGUGUGGAGCGUUGCCAUAGAGACCGACGCGCCCUGGACGCUACACCCACACAGCCCAGGACGCUAGGCCUUUUCUGGGCCGCCCCCGCCGCCCCAGGCCGAAACUCCAUCCCUUUCCCCCACCCUGCCGAGCUCCCGAAGCCCUGUGGCGGCUCCGGGCAAGAACUAAGGGCGGCCCCUGCAAGCGUACCUGCUCCGCCGGCUCCGCGGGGCCAACGAAGCGUCCCGGAAGGAUCCGGGUUCCCGGGGCCGCUGCGCCUCCCUGCGGCCGGGGCGGAGCCGCGCAAGGAAACGCGGGCGGGGCGCGGGUCUGGAAUGGCCUGGGGACCAGUCCACCUCGAGGCAGGGUCAGGCGCCAGGGAGUUUGGAGACCCGGCAGAGUCACCCCGCAACCGUCCCGUUGCCUUGGGUCGGGAUUCCUUUGCUUUGCAGUCUACAGUAGCGCUCCCCGCUCUUGCUUAAGGUGCACCAGACGCUUCGCAAACGUUCUCUCUUUUCUUUACAACCCGUCAAGGCAGUAGUCUCCCAGUUUUACAAAUGAGCUAAACUGAUACAGGAAGAGUGUUUCUUGUACAAGGUCUCAAAUAUUGCCAAAAGGUGGACGUGAGACUGGAACGGCUUCCUACUCUUUGGGCCACAGCGGCGGCCUGCCAAGGGACUUUCUAACGAAACCGGCGCUGCCCAAGCGUCUGCACUCACGCCCAGUGCUCAUCCCACCCUGCCCCAUUCUGGAUUUGCACAUCAAGCUGCUGUCUAAAAUGUUUAAGUAGUUGAAAAAAAUGUAAUUUUCAGCAAUUGUAAAUAGUGACGCAAGUUAAAUAUAUCCAACUGAAUCGAAACACUACAGUAAUAUGGUACCCUCCAUCGUCCACCUCACACACACACACAAAAAAAACCCACAAAAAACUCUUAAAAAUCCUAAGUUUACAUCAUUACUCUUCCUUCUUAAAAUCAUCUCUCCGCCGCCCCCUCCCCGUCCCUGCCACAAAAAAUUUCUUCUUCUUGUAAGCACUCUAGUCAAGUUGGAUUAGGGCUGAACUAAAGGCCUCAUUUUGAUCUAAUUGCAUCUUUAAAGUCUCUGUCUCCGAAUAUAGUCUCAUUAUUAGUUAUUGGUGUUAGAUUUCAGUGUGUGAAUUGGGGGUGGCCGCGGCGGGGGUGAAUGCAGCCCGUAGCAGGAGUCCAAAAGUUGUUUAGCAGUUGGAAUAUCCAAUGUUAGUUUCUUUGGCAGUGAAAUUCCCUCAAAAUAUUAGUAGGUAUAUGAUCUACUUGUUUUUGUUUAAUUACACGUGUCAGUGACCACACCCAAAUUUCUUCCCUAGAAUUCUUAGACAUGCUUCAUUAAAUCAUAUCUUCAUUCUACUUUCCUGAUAGAAUUUUACCCGUUAUCUUUUUCAUACUUGAAAGUCUUAUUGAUCAUCCUAUCAUACUGCUGAAAGAAGUACAGAAAUGGAAAUUUAUAUUUCCUGCUCAUAGAAUUUUAGUUUUUCUGGAUUAAAUUGUUAAAAUUACUAGUACUACACAAUUGAUCACAAUAAAAUGUAUCACAAUACUGAUAAUUAUUAAAUAUAAAAAAUAAAAUUGUAUUGAAAAUUCAUCUCUUUAAGACCUGGAUGGGCUUCCCAUGCACCGUUAGUUCCUGUAUCCAUAGAUGAAUGCUAACUUCUUGCUACAAUGAAGUUUAACACUGAUUCUCUUCCAUUUUCUUAAGGCUGUAAGUGCUGAGAAAUAAGUACAUAGGA
rnacentral:lncRNA from 1 species